rnacentral:rRNA from 1 species
UUCGCAAUGCCCGAAAGGGUGACGAAGCGACGCCGCGUGGGUGAAGAAGGCCUUCGGGUUGUAAAGCCCUGUCAGGAGUUAUGAAAUGUAGGUACGACAAUACCGUGCUUAUUUGACAAAGGCUCCAAAGGAAGCCACGGCUAACUCUGUGCCAGCAGCCGCGGUAAUACAGAGGUGGCAAGCGUUGUUCGGAAUUAUUGGGCGUAAAGAGCACGUAGGUGGGUUUGUAAGUCAGGUGUGAAAGCCCUCUGUUCAACAGGAGAAUUGCAUCUGAAACUACAAGUCUUGAGUAUAGGAGGGGAGAAUGGAACUUCUGGUGGGGCGGUGAAAUGCGUAGAUAUCAGAAGGAACGCCGGCUGCGAAAGCGAUUCUCAGGCCUAUUACUGACACUCAGUGUGCGAAAGCUAGGGGAGCAAACGGGAUUAGAUACCCCGGUAGUCCUAGCCGUAAACGAUGGGCACUAAGUAGAGGGGUUUU